rnacentral:sRNA from 1 species
GCUGGGCAUGGUAGUGCAUGCCUAUAAUCCCAGAGACUCCGGAGGCUGAGGCAGGAGGACUGUGAGUUCAAAAUCAGCCUCAGCAACUUAGUGAGAACUUGUCUCAA